CCCUUAGAUGUCCUGGGCCGCACGCGCGCUACACUGAUGCAUGCAACGAGUUUAUAACCUUGGCCUGAAAGGUCUGGGUAAUCUUUUGAACGUGCAUCGUGAUAGGGAUAGAUUAUUGCAAUUGUUAAUCUUGAACGAGGAAUUCCUAGUAAACGCGGGUCAUCAGCUCGCAUUGAUUACGUCCCUGCCCUUUGUACACACCGCCCGUCGCACCUACCGAUUGAAUGGUUCGGUGAAGAUCUCGGACUUCGAUAUUUAUUCUUUAUUGAGUUUAUAUUGUGGGAAGUUAUCUAAACCUCAUCAUUUAGAGGAAGGUGAAGUCGUAACA
rnacentral:rRNA from 1 species